rnacentral:rRNA from 1 species
ACACAUGCAAGUAUCMGCACCCCGGUGAAGAUGCCCUCUUAAUCACCAACGAUAAAGAGGAGCGGGUAUCAAGCACACUAUACAGUAGCUAAAGACGCCUUGCCUAGCCACACCCCCACGGGAUACAGCAGUGACAAAAAUUAAGCCAUGAACGAAAGUUCGACUAA